AAACCGCCCAGAGGUAAACGGGUGGAUCCGCAAAGUCGGCCCGCGGAAUUCAGCGCAGCGCGCAGACCUGGGCUGUCGCAGUUCGAGAUCCCUGGGACUCAGCCGCGACGUCGUUCGGGUCUCCGCUGCGUGCACUUUCCGCGGGCAGAGUGCCACAACCGGUUCGGCGGCGGCUACAUGCUUGGAGGGUUGUAGGUGGGGGCGCUUGCGUCCCUACCAGCCCUUCUUUCGCGAGCCGCUGGCCGGACCGAGGGAACGCCGCGCGCUUCGAGGCCACCCUCCCCUCCUGGUGAGUUCGACUGGGAGAGACUGGGCAACCGUGUCUCCCGACCGCUCAUCGGCGAUCGGCGUGGGGCUGGCCGGGCGUGCAUUGUCUGUCAAGGUUGGUGGCAAGUAUGUCGGCAUUCCACCCGACCCGUCUUGAA
rnacentral:rRNA from 1 species